rnacentral:lncRNA from 1 species
AUCAAUGAGCGGCUUCCUGUCCACGCCUGGGUCACAGGCAUGUCACAGGGGUCCCAUCACUCCCCAGUGUCACGCUGCAGGAAGCAGGGCCUCUGCGUGCCUGUUCCUACGGGUGUGGACUCAGGAGCAGCUACAUCCCACCCUGGGUGAGAAAGCUCUUAAGUUCAUCUAGUAGGAAACUCCCUGGCUCCUCCUCCACCCACUCACUCCUUCCGAGGAGGAGUAGCAGCCGCUGCAGCAGAACAACCUGACCAUGACUUGCUUACCAGCUCAGCACAUCCCCUACCAGAGAGCUUCUCCAGAGAAUGUCACAGCGGCCCGGCCUUCCCUGCUCUGUCAGCUUGGGAUUUCCUCCAGGCCAGGGACAAAGACACUGCAGUGGGACUCAGAGCCUGGAUCAGAGGACUCAGGAAAGAUGCACAGCCAGGGAACCUUCUGCAGGUUCCUCCAGGUCCCCCCAGGCCAGCACUUCUCAACCUCCCUGACACUGUGGCCUUUUUAAUAUAGUUCUUCAAGUUGGGCUGACUCUCAACCAUAAAAUUAUUACCAUUGCUACUUCGUAACUGUAAUUUUGUGACUGUUGUGAAUUGUAAAUAUUUGGUAUGCAGGAUAUCUGAUAUGCGACUUCUGAAAAGGUUGUGACCCGCAGGUUGAGUGCCCUUGCCCUAGACAAGCAUCGACGAUGACGCAGCUGGAAGGCUGGAACACAGUACACUGAUAGGGCUUUGCCGGGUGUUCAUAAGGCCCUGGGUUCAAUUCCCAGGACUCGGUGCCCGCCUGUCUCCCUCUUUCCCUCCCUCCCAACAAGGUUGGUGAGAAGGCUUAGCAGGGAAAGAUGCCCCCGACUAAGCCUAACGACCUGAAUUUGGUCCUGGAGGGGGGGACCCACAUGGUGGAAGGCCAGAAUAAUAAACUCCCAGUAGUCCCUUACUCUCCACAUGCACAUAACAAAUAAGUAAAUGUAAACAAAUAAAAAAAGUUUCGCGUCAGUGCUGGGGAAUGAGCAGCUAAGGCAAGCGAUCGAUAUAUUACUGAGUGAUUACCUCAGAUCCCCCCACCCCGCACACAAUAAACAGUAGUGCUUGGAGACUU